rnacentral:rRNA from 1 species
CACGUAGGGCGCAAGCGUUUGUCCGGAAUUAUUGGGCGUAAAGAGCUCGUAGGCGGUCUGUUGCGUCCGCUGUGAAAACUCGGGGCUUAACCCCGAGCCUGCAGUGGAUACGGGCAGACUAGAGGUAGGUAGGGGAGAAUGGAAUUCCCGGUGUAGCGGUGAAAUGCGCAGAUAUCGGGAGGAACACCGGUGGCGAAGGCGGUUCUCUGGGCCUUACCUGACGCUGAGGAGCGAAACGUGGGGGAGCGAACAGG